AAAUCAACAUUGAACUUGGUUAACUACCCUCAAGAUUUGUAUACUAAAAAUAUUUCUUCUCCAAUUUACCUCUAAAUUAAUAUCAAGAUACUUUCAGCUUAUUCUACUGGAUCUUGGUUAUGAAAUUGGAUUGGAAUUACUAUAUAUUGUAGGUCCUUGUUCACAAGAUCAUCUGUAUUUUAGCUAAAUGUGUGAAGAAAUGUCUAGCAAAGAAGUGAAGACUGCCCUAAAAAGUGCAAGAGAUGCCAUCAGAAACAAAGAGUACAAAGAAGCUUUGAAACAUUGCAAGACAGUGUUGAAACAAGAGAAAAAUAACUAUAAUGCCUGGGUUUUCAUUGGUGUUGCUGCAGCUGAACUAGAGCAGCCUGAUCAGGCCCAGGGUGCCUAUAAGAAGGCUGCUGAACUAGACCCAGAGCAGCUUCUUGCUUGGCAGGGGCUAGCAAGUUUGUAUGAAAAGUGUGAUCACGAAAAUGCUAAGGGUGAUUUACCUGGUGUUUAUCAAAAGCUGCUGGAUCUCUAUGAAAGUGUUGACAAGCAGAAGUGGUGUGAUGUCUGUAAGAAACUUGUGGAUCUACAUCACCAGGAAAAGAGACACCUAGAGGUGGCUCGGACAUGGUAUAAAUUGAUAAAGACGCGGCAAGAAGAUGGAGCAGACAAGCAAGAGCUUUAUGAGCUGUGGAGAAAACUGACUCAAUUGCUCGCUGAGAAUAUAGAGGAUCAGAAUAAUGAAACGCAGCAGAUGCUUUUAACUGCAUUUGAGAAUGCACUGGACCUAGCAGAUAGUAUUCCCAGUGAAGAUCACCAAGUACUUUAUAAGCAUUUCAUUCAGUGCUUAUCUAAACUUCCUCAUGAAACUGAGAGACUGAAGAAGGCCUGUGAAGGAAUGAUGAAUUUCUAUCCUACUGUACAGUAUCCACUAGAAGUAAUUUGCUUGCACUUGAUUGAAUCAGGGAGUCUGGCGGAUGAAGGACAGCAGUAUUGUUGUAAGCUAAUAGAAAUGAAUUCAAAAAGUGGUCCAGGCCUCAUUGGCUUAGGCAUUAAAGCUUUACAAGACAAGAAGUAUGAAGAUGCUGUUAGUCACCUAACAGAAGGCUUGAAAGAACUUCCUCUCUGCGUAGCUGGCUGGUGUCAUUUAGCCAAAGCCCAAGUCAAAGUGCACAGACCUAAGGAAGCAAUUCUUUCUUGCAACCAAGCGUUGAAGAACAUAGAUAACCACAGUGCAGCCGGUAGCAGAUGUCAUCAGAAGAAUUUGUGUCUUCUUUUGAAAGCUGAGGCUUUGCUUAAACUCUCAGAUUGUGAAUCUUCAGAGGAAGCAAUUCAUAUUCUUGAUCAGGUUUCGGAUACAGAUAAUAUCCCAGGACUGCUCAUUCUUCAAGGCCUGGCCCAUCUGAACACAGGUGCUGUAGACAAGGCUACAAAGAUUAUGGAAGACCUUCGAGCUUCUUACCCUGACCUGGCCAAAGUUCAUGCACUUGAGGCUUUGAUUCAUUUUACUAAGAAGGACUAUCUGCAAGCAGAAGCAUGUUUCCAAAGAGCACUUGAAAAAGAUGCUGAAGUUGCUGAAUAUCAUUACCAGCUUGGAUUGACAUACUGGUUCAUGGGUGAAGAAACAAGAAAAGAUAAAGCAAAGGCUCUUACCCAUUUUCUGAAGGCUGCAAGACUGGACACAUACAUGGGUAAAGUUUUCUGCUAUUUAGGUCAUUAUUACCGUGAUGUAGCUGGAGACAGAAACAGAGCCCGUGGAUGUUACAGAAAAGCUUUUGAGUUAGAUGACACCGAUGCUGAGUCUGGAGCAGCGGCUGUUGACCUAAGUGUGGAACUUGAAGACACGGAAACUGCUUUAGCUAUCUUAACAGCAGUAACUCAAAAGGCAAGUGCUGGAGCAGCAAAGUGGGCCUGGCUUAGGCGAGGACUAUACCAUUUGAAAGAUGGUCAACAUUCUCAAGCAGUGGCUGAUUUGCAGGCAGCACUCAGGGCAGACCCAAAGGACUGCAAUUGUUGGGAAUCCUUAGGAGAGGCGUACUUAAGCAGGGGCGGCUAUACAACAGCCUUGAAGUCUUUCACAAGAGCCAGUGAGCUGAACCCAGACUCCACGUACAGUGUGUUUAAAGUGGCAGCAAUACAGCAGAUCCUAGGCAGGUAUACUGAGGCCAUCGCUCAGUAUCAGCUGAUCAUUAAAAAGAAAGAGGAUUAUGUGCCCGCCUUGAAAGGUUUGGGCGAAUGCCAUCUAAUGAUGGCAAAAGCAGCCUUAGUGGAUUUUCUGGAUGGAAAAGCUGUAGACUGUGUGGAAAAAGCUCUGGAAUAUUUUACUUGGGCACUGCAGCAUCGAGCUGAUGUGUCCUGCCUCUGGAAGCUCGCUGGGGAUGCCUGCAGCAGCCUGCAUGCUGUUUCACCGUCUAAAGUGCAUGUUCGCGUGUUAGGAGUGCUUCUCGGCCAGCAGGAAGGAAGUGAAGUAUUGAAGAAAGAUGAGCUCCUGAACCUAGGAGGAAGGUGUUAUGGUCGUGCACUAAAGUUGAUGUCUACAUCGAAUACAUGGUGUGAUCUUGGAAUUAAUUAUUACCACCAAGCACGACAUCUAGCAGAGACAGGUGGCAGCACGGAUGGCCUUACAGAGCUACUGGAGAAAUCUGUGCAUUGUCUGAAAAAGGCAGUGAGACUGGACAGUAAAAAUCACUUAUACUGGAAUGCUCUUGGUGUGGUUGCAUGUUACCAUGGUAUUGGGAAUUAUGCUCUUGCUCAGCACUGUUUCAUCAAAUCGAUCCAGGCAGAACAAAUUAAUGCUGCUGCGUGGACCAACUUAGGAGUGCUAUACCUUGCGACAGAAAACAUUGAGCAAGCUCAUGAAGCUUUCAAAAUGGCUCAGUCCCUUGAUCCAUCUUAUUUAUUGUGCUGGAUUGGACAAGCUCUUAUUGCAGAGACAGUUGGAAGUUAUGACACCAUGGAUCUCUUCAGGCACACUACAGAGCUCAGCAUGCAUACUGAAGGAGCCAUAGGUUAUGCAUAUUGGGUUUGCACAACAUUACAAGACAAAAGCAACAGAGAAACAGAGCUAUACAAGUACAACAUCCUCCAGAUGAAUGCUGUCCCUGCAGCACAGGGUGUUCUGUGUAAAUAUGUGGAAAGAAUUCAGAAUUACGCUCCAGCUUUCACAAUGUUGGGUUAUUUAAAUGAACGUCUACAGUUAAGAAGGGAAGCAGCAGAGGCAUACCAAAGGGCAGCUUCACUGUUAGAUCCUACAGAAGACCAGCAUACUUACAAUGUUACAAUGAGAAACUGGGGCAGAUUGUUGUGUUCCAUUGGUGAAUAUGACAAAGCUGUCCAGGCCUUUAAGUCAACGCCCCUGGAGGAAAUGGAGGACAUCGUAGGUUUGGCAUUGGCAUUGUUUAUGAAGGGACUAUAUAAGGAGAGCAACAAAGCCUAUGAGAGAGCCUUGACUGUUGUCAAAUCUGAGCAAGACAAAGCACAUGUCUUAACAGCUCUGGCAAUAACAGAAUACAAACAAGGACAAAUGGAUGCAGCCAAGUCAUUGCUUUUCAAAUGCUCUAUUUUAAAGGAACCAACCACAGAAAGCCUUCAAACCCUGUGUGCUCUAGGGUUGGCAAUGCAGGAUGCUACGCUGUCAAAAGCAGCACUUAAUGAGUUCCUAAAGCACACGAAGCACAAGAACGAUUAUCACAGAUGCCUUCUUACUUCAGCCAUCUGUGCACUCCAGGGCCGCGGUGUGGCAGUACAGAGACAGGCAGCCAAGGCUGUCCACAGUAACCCUGCUGACCCGGCUCUUUGGUCUUUGCUGUCUCGAGUUGUUGCUCAGUAUACACAACGGAAUGCAAAGGGAGGAGCUGUUGCCGGCACCGUGGCUCAUGUUCUGGAUGCAAAUCAUGGAAAGAAGGCAUUAUUGUACACUGCAGUAAACCAGUUGGCCAUGGGAAGCAGUACAGUAGAAGAUGAAAAAAAUAUUUCUCUAAAGACCAUUCAGAAGGCAGCUUUCCUUUCCCCAGAUGACCCUGCUGUCUGGGCUGGGCUGAUGGCAGCCUGCCAUGCUGAUGAUAAACUGGCUUUGGUCAGCAACACUCAGCCCAAGAGGCUUGAUUUGCACUUGGCACUGCUAUCUGCUGUUUCUGCGUCACUUAAGGACAAAGACAUUUUGCAAAAUUACAACCAGUCACUUGAAAAGUGGUCUCUCUCACAAGCUGUCACUGGUCUAAUUGACACAGGAAGAAUAUCUGAAGCGGAGUCUCUGUGCACAAAGAGUUUAAAAAGUAACCCUGAUCAGCCAGCAGUUGUCUUACUGUUGAGACAAGUUCAGUGUAAAUCACUGCUGGAGUCACAGAGGCCCCUCCCAGAUGCUGUACUCGAAGAACUGCAGAAAACAGUCAUGUCCAAUUCCACCUCUGUUCCGGCGUGGCAGUGGUUGGCACAGGUGUAUCAGUCCCAAGGAAUGAUGGGUGCCGCAGAGAUGUGUUACAGAAAGAGUCUGCAAGUGGCAUCCCAACAGGGCAGCUGGAAUGGGAAGCUCUCGAGUCUGUUGAAGCUAGCACUGCUUGCAUUGGAAGUAUGCAUGGCUAAUGUUCCCGGAGAUCAUUGGUCAUCCUUGCUUCAAGAGGCCACAAGUGAGGCCUUGAAAGUUUGCUUUUGUCCUUUGGCUGUGUUCUUGCAAGCUUUGUUACAGUUCAACCGCAAGAUGGGAGCAAGAGAGACACGGCGACUCUUGGAGAGAGUAGUGUAUCAGCCUGGCUAUCCCAACUCAAUUGUAUCGACUGCACGUUGGUACCUCUUAAGACACCUCUAUGCCAAAAACGACCAUGAGCUCAUUGAUGUGUUGGUGAAGAAUGCUGAGGCUCACGGUGACAAAAGAACAUUGGAGCUGAAUGAGAAGCUGUCAUCACAGUAAUCGUGGUUGUGAGACUACCGCAAGAGCCGAAGAAAAUAAGGCGAGGCCAUCAGUCAAGACUUCUCAUCUGAACAACAUACUCUAGAACUAGUUGUAUCAGCUGGGCCUGGUGCCGCACACCUUUAAUCUCAGCCCUCACGAGGCAGAACUGAGGGGAUGUCUGUGAGUUCCAGACCAGCCUACAGUACACAAGUUCUUCAGACCAAGUCUUGAUGAAAUAUGCACAUGCUCUUGUAGUCUGUCUUGCUAGUUCCAGCUCAGACCCUGUUGAAGAAGCAGUAUGAGGAUGCUUGCAAGAGUGACUGCUAGUGAAUUGUCUGGUUGCAUUUAAAAACAAAUAUUAAUGAAAAAUUGUUGAAAAUGAUGCUGAUAAUACUUAUUAUUUGUGCAAUUUCCUUGUUCAUGGUGAAAAGACAUUAACUUCCUGAAAUAAAACAAAAAUCUGUCUUAUUUUCUCAUA